AGUGCCCUUUCUCUAUAAACCUUGCUCUGUAAGAUAAGACAAAUGCUUUCUCAUACAAAGCUUAAUUCCUCUUUCAGCCUAAGAGAAUCUGUUUUUGGAGCAGGGUAGCGGUGAGGUUAUGAAGCUGUAGAGCCAGUUCUUCUACUGCUGCCCUCUCCAUGUCAUGUGAAAGUCUUUGAGUGAAAUUGCAGAGUAUUCAACCCUACACUAACACAAGGCUAUCAGAGAAAGUGAAGCUGAAAUAACAUUUACCUCUGUCCAAAAGGUAUACGGCUUUGCAGGCAGCUUGGAUCUCAGUAGCUCAGCUCCAGGGGGCAUCAUUUACCAUGUAGGCUGCCUGCAGCAGUGGAAGCUGCUCAAUAAACCAUAUCAGGCUCUUGGCAAACUGCUUAUAUUAAACUUCAUGGACAUAUUAAAAUAUAGAUCAAAGGCUUCAAAGUCAUUGGAUGAUGUGGUGUGGCAUCUGCCUGUUGUAUUGGAAGUCAGUGUCCUGGAUGAAGGUUCUGCUAUGGAUUAAGAGGCGAGGCCAAUGGCAAGUGUCUGUUCCAUGUCCUUGGGGUAAGCAUUCCCUGGCACCUUCUGAAAUAUCUGCUCCGAUACUGAGCUGCUAUACGGGAUAUUUUAAGUUGGCUGUCUAGUGUGCUUAUUUGAACAUAAACCCACAUCUCCUCUCUGUUGCUUUUCUCAGAUUCUCAGAGCUGAGCAAGCAACAAAGCUGCAGUUAGCAACCUGUGACUGAUUUCCCUUGCCACAGAAAUGCAGCCGCCCCUGGAGAGUUCAUUUCACAUGCACAAUAGAAGUGUGAAAGUGAUGGAGGAGUGAUGAUUCCUUUCGAUUUCACAUUUUUUCUGAUCUCACGGUCUCAAGCAAGGGAGAAAGUGCCAUUAACAGGUAUGAUUUUCUGCAGAGGUGGAAAGAAUGAUACUCAACAGUUUUGUACAAUUGAGUCUACAUCUUCCUGUGUGUGAACAAGUUGAAAGAAUAGGUGAUCAGUGCCUUCCCUUUCCAUCACUCUGGAGCGUCUUCUAAUUCCAGACUCUAAUUGUUGUCAAACAGGAUGAAAUGUGCUUUGAAAGUGAGUAGAAGCCAGGACCUAAGUUCUUCAAUAACUGCACCAUUCUUGGUACUUGCUAAGCAUGCAAAAAGAAAGCUUCCCUUCAAAAGUUUCAGGAUGGGCAUUUUCAGUCACAGUUUAUUUCUGAAAAGCUUGGUCUAUAUAUAUGUGUGUGUAUACAUACGUAUAUACACACAUACAUACACAUAUUGAAAAUAAUAUAUAUAUAAUAUAGCAUUUAUAUCACAGCAAGGUUAGAAAGGAAUGUUUUUUCCCUUUUUGCUAGAAUGCCCUCUCUUACCACAUUCCUCUCAUCACCUAUCCCAGCUGUAUCUCACCUGGCAUUCACUGCAUCUUGGAACUAUAUGGACUAGAGCUUUGUCCUGUUUCAUUGAUAACAUCUUGCCUUUUCAAAGCUUCCAUGAUGAUAUGCAUCAGUUUUGUGACCUGUUCUUGUCUCCUGAGCUGCUUACUCCUCGGAGGAAGAGAUACUGCAUACUCUGCUUGGGGAAACAUGAGCUGGGGAAGACACAAUCUCUGAACUGAAAAGUCUGUGUUCGAUUUGAAGUCUUGAGAAGGUGAAUGAGAAUUGUGGUUGUCUUUGGAUUAAAAUGACUUUAACUG
ensembl:lncRNA